rnacentral:misc_RNA from 1 species
CGUGGAUCCAUACCCAUCUCCGCCCCAUCUAGGGUUCCGACGAUCUCCAAUCCCCUCGUCGCCGGCGAUUCCAGGGCUUCCCCGUCGGUGACGAUGUUGUCGCUCCAGACCGGCGAUCCCCGCCAGCAGCACCAGCAGCCGGCAGUAGCGCCCCCGGUUGCUCCGCAGCUCCAGAUCCAGCAGCUGUUCGGCCCUACCGGCGUCGGCGCUGGUGCCGGCGCCUUCCAGCGCGCCCUAUUCGAACUCGAAGAUCCGCCCGCUCUCCGCCUCCAGCCCCUCGAUGAUGCCUCCGCUG